GACGAACGCUGGCGGCGUGCCUAAUACAUGCAAGUCGAACGCUGAAGGAGGAGCUUGCUCUUCUGGAUGAGUUGCGAACGGGUGAGUAACGCGUAGGUAACCUGCCUGGUAGCGGGGGAUAACUAUUGGAAACGAUAGCUAAUACCGCAUAAGAGUAGAUGUUGCAUGACAUUUGCUAAAAAGGUGCAAUUGCACCACUACCAGAUGGACCUGCGUUGUAUUAGCUAGUUGGUGGGGUAACGGCUCACCAAGGCAACGACACGUAGCCGACCUGAGAGGGGGACCGGCCACACUGGAACUGAGACACGGCCCAGACUCCUACGGGAGGCAGCAGUAGGGAAUCUUCCGCAAUGGGCGAAAGCCUGACGGAGCAACGCCGCGUGAGUGAUGAAGGUCUUCGGAUCGUAAACCUCUGUUAUUAGGGAAGAAGAAAUGUGUAAGUAACUGUGCACGUCUUGACGGUACCUAAUCAGAAAGCCACGGCUAACUACGUG
rnacentral:rRNA from 1 species